GACGAACCGUGCGAACGUUGUUCGGAAUCACUGGGCUUAAAGGGCGCGUAGGCGGGCCAGCAAGUCAGGGGUGAAAGCCCACGGCUCAACCGUGGAAGUGCCUCUGAUACUGUUGGCCUCGAGGGAGGUAGGGGCGUGCGGAACUUCCGGUGGAGCGGUGAAAUGCGUAGAUAUCGGAAGGAACAUCGGUGGCGAAAGCGGCGCGCUGGACCUCUACUGACGCUGAGGCGCGAAAGCCAGGGGAGCAAACGGGG
rnacentral:rRNA from 1 species